ACAAUUGGUAGGAAGCGGUGACGCUGAAGUAAAGUCGAGCCACUCCCAAAUCAUCAUUGUUUUUUUAUUCUUGUGUUGAUCAUCAUCUACUGUUUGAGUGGUGGGCUGCAGUUGACCAUCAUCGGUAGCAAAUCAAGGGUAGUAGGAUGAUCGAAUGACACAGUCUUAGUAGCCACAGAUGAAGAUGAUUGAUCAAGUACGAACUUUUCAUACAUAUAGAAAAUAAAGAAAACAUGGUGGACUCAUAGAUAUCUAUAUUGUAAAGGGGGGCUCAUGUCUACUUGACGGAUGAUCUGUCAGCAUUUGGUAAAAUUACUAACUAAUCCAUCAAUGAUUAAAUUUUUAAAUAGUUUAUGGAAAGAGAUUUUAACACUUGGAAAGGUCAUUACACCCCUUGAUUAUAGCGUUGUCAUCACAACCAACGACAAUAAACCUUUUCAUCUUAGAGACACAACACAGAUAAGUUGAGUCUCCCAAACGGGCCCAACCAAGCCGAGAUUCAGUACGCACGUCUCCAGUGGAGGUGUAACGUUGCCAUGAAAUGGCAUUCGAGAUACGCAAUUCAACAUCGGAUAUGUUGUACACCUACCUAUGAGGGGUUUCUGAGAACACAUUGCAUUUGGUCUCGAACCCUGCAUUAAUGGCGCAAACUGAUCCUUUGCUAACACCAAAUCAGUGUGGAACUGUAACGCUCCCACACUGCUUACAACAUCCUAGUUUUGUUAUAUCGAUACAUUUGGUAAUUGUUGUGGUGGUGCUGUUAGUGGUUGUUUGGGCCGUGGCUAAUGUCAAUAUUAGAACAAAAGCGUAAAGACAAGCCGUUUGGUAAGGAAGCAAGAUUUGUUUUUGGUCCAUGGUUUUUGAGUUUUCAAAAUGAUGCAAACUGGCCGGUUAUAAGAAGUCCCGUGUCAGAAAAUUAUUGUAGGAAUACUUCUCAAUUCCCUCCAUUUACGGUAACAAGCAUGGAUUAAAGGGAGGAGAAUUAAAAAAUACGAAUGAUUAGUGUGAAGAUAUUACUCAUCUGGAUUGAAUAUAUUAUCCAUAUGUUUUUUUAGAGAUCUAGAGAAAACUAGAAUCUUAACUAAAAAAACCCCACAGACGGCGCCAAAUUGUUUAACUCAGAAGUUAUCAAUAUACUUUACGAGCAUAAAACAAUCAAAAUAAAUGAUGGGUAAAUCCUAGUUAAGAAUAAUUAACUCUAGAUCCGAGACGAAUAAUAUGAAUUAAAAGACAUAGUUGAAUAUGAAUGUCGAUGGUGAUUGUAAUCAGAUUUAAUAGCAUAAAUAAAGAUGCAUUAAGUAACAAAAAUAUGAAUACAGGAAAAGAUUCACCCGGUCUUCCGUGAUACAAAUCUCCUUUCCUUUCAUAAAGAUGGAUAAAAGACGUGUACAAGAGGUUCAUGAUCUCUUUUUGGAUCUGAUGAAAGUAUCGGAUCACAUAUUCUCUCCUUUCUUUGGAGAGAUAUGUUUACAUAUUUUUUAGAGAGAGGAAG
rnacentral:lncRNA from 1 species